rnacentral:rRNA from 1 species
UACGGGGGGAGCAAGCGUUGCUCGGAUUGACUGGGCGUAAAGGGCGCGUAGGCGGACAGUUAAGUUGGGGGUGAAAGCCCGGGGCUCAACCUCGGAACUGCCUUCAAUACUGGCUGUCUUGAGUGUGAGAGAGGUGUGUGGAACUCCGAGUGUAGAGGUGAAAUUCGUAGAUAUUCGGAAGAACACCAGUGGCGAAGGCGACACACGUGGCUCACUACUGACGCUGAGGCGCGAAAGCGUGGGGAGCAAACAGG